AUCAGUGUACAAUCAGAUUCCGGCUUCAAGCUUCCCAGCUCAGUCUGAUACUACCUCUUACAUGCACUAUGGAAACGCCUCAUUUGCACCUCAAGACCAGCUAGUUAGCAACACUCAUGAGUCACAAGGCAUGAUGAAUGGCAACGGUGGUGGGAGAUUAGGACUAGGUCCACCGUCAGGAUCCCAAAACAACCACUUGGUGCAGCCUCAUUCUGAGAUGAACCCUUUUAAUGAUUGGUCGACCAGAGGAGGUGAUGGGUUUUUAUCAGAGGAAGAGAUUAGGGCUAGAAGUAACGAAAUGCUUGAGAACGAUGAUAUGCAGCAGCUGUUGAGACUCUUUAGCAUGAAUGGUGGUGGUGGUGGUGGCCCUCAAACUCCGAUGAACAUGGGGGAAGACGGGUUUGGGUUUCACUCUUUUGGUCAGUCUUCGAUGGGUGAUUAUGAAGAAGAGCGUUCACAGUCGGGUAAGCCUGUUGUUGGAUGGCUAAAGAUCAAAGCAGCUAUGAGAUGGGGCUUCUUCAUCAGGAGGAAAGCUGCUCAGCGACGUGCGCAGAUUGUUGAACUCGAGGAGGACGAGUAGGAAUCAAGAACUAAAGGGUUUGUUAAAGAGUUUCCCACAAGAAGAAGGAAGUCUUUUGUGGUGGUUUCUUCUUCUUCUUGUGGAGCUUCAUUUGUAUAGUGUAAGCUUUCUUCUUGUACUCUUCUACUUGCUUGUGCUUUAUAUGUAAUCUCUACUUUGACCAGUUUAUUUUCAAAAAACUAUAAAAAAACUUUUGUUGUAAUUUUAUUUUCUCAGUUGUGUUAUUUGUGCUACUUGUGAUUUGUUUUUUUUCUUGGGAAGAUUAAUGAGAGACUGAACUCUAAUUUCCGCAGAAAUACAAUGAGUAAUAGUUAUAAUAGAUACAUCAAUGAGGAGGCUCUCUAUAACUCUAUGUGUUACCUUGGGGAGGAUCUUUUCUACAAGACUCUCAGAAACUAAGGACUGUAAGUGCACCAUCUCCACUAUCCAUUGUAUCUUAUCAAGAUGUUGAAAGAUUCUUACUUACUCAUCGAGUUUUUUUUUUAAUCAGAUUCUUGGGAGUGGAAUGUCGAACAGGAUGUGGGAGACACUUGCAGAACAUUCCAAGACAUGUGUCUUGAGUGAAAUGCUUUACGUCUACUAUCCUGAGGACUCGGUUGGUGUUGUUUUCAACAAUAUCUAUGAGUUUAGUGGUCUUAUUUCAGGGAAGCAGUACUAUCCUGCGGAUUCUCUUUCUGACAAUCAAAAGGUUUGUGCUUCUUAUAGAUAUACACUUGUUUCUUCUCUCUUACUUGGUAAAUAGUAAACUGUUGAUGUAUUAUAUGCAUGGUUCUAAAAAUCGGUCUAGGUGGCAGCGCCUAGGUGCCCGCCUAGACGACAAAUCGGUCCUAACCGAAACGAUUUUCUUAAAAUCUGAUUCAAACCGGUUUCAACCAUUCUAAAUCAGUUUAAACGGUUCUAAAUCAAUCAAAAUUAGGUUAAAAUUUUAAAAUUAAAUAAUAAGGUUAGUAUAAAUCCAAAAAUUUGUUUAGUUUAUUUUGUUAUGUAUAUUUAAUUUUGAUAAUUCAUCAAAACAUUUUUAUAAUUAAACCCAAUAACUAAAAAUAUCUUAUAUAAAUGUAAAAUAUAUUAAAGAUAAAUAAAAACUUUGUUAAAGCGCCUAAUCCUGGCUUGGAUCCCGAAUAAUCCGUCAAGUCGCUAAUUCUUUAUAGAGCGCCUAGUUACAGCCUAAGUAAUUCUUAAACAUUGAUUAUAUGUAUAGGGUUAUGUUGAUGCAUUGGUGAAGAAAGCAUAUGAAAACUGGGAUCAAGUUGUUGAGUAUGACAGCAAGUCACUGAUGAACUUCAACCAAGUUAACAAGACAGCUGAGAUAGAUUACUCAAUGCCAGUUUCUGUUCCAAGCCAACCUUCUACAUCAUAUUCAGACAUAACUGGUGAAGGUGAGUUGAUCGUAGAAUCCAUCUUCCUUUUUUUUUUGUUGUGAAACCGAAUUAACAGUCAUUCGUUGGGUUUUACAGCAUCAGUGUACAAUCAGAUUCCGGCUUCAAGCUUCCCAGCUCAGUCUGAUACUACCUCUUACAUGCACUAUGGAAACGCCUCAUUUGCACCUCAAGACCAGCUAGUUAGCAACACUCAUGAGUCACAAGGCAUGAUGAAUGGCAACGGUGGUGGGAGAUUAGGACUAGGUCCACCGUCAGGAUCCCAAAACAACCACUUGGUGCAGCCUCAUU
rnacentral:lncRNA from 1 species